rnacentral:rRNA from 1 species
UCAAGCUAAAAAGAGCAUAAGGUGAAUGCCUUGGCAUCGGAAGCCGAAGAAGGACGCGAUAAGCUGCGAAAAGCUGCGGGGAGCUGCAAAUAAGCCUAGAUCCGCAGGUAUCCGAAUGGGGAAACCCCAUCAUGUGAAGCAUGAUGAUCGUGCACUGAAUCAAUAGGUGUAUGAAGGGAACCUCCCGAACUGAAACAUCUAAGUAGGGAGAGGAAGAGAAAUCAAAAGAGAUUCCGCGAGUAGCGGCGAGCGAAAGCGGAAGAGGCUAAACCGCAAGUAGAAAUACUUACGGGGUUGUGGACUGUGUAAGGUAUUGUGGAAGUUAAUCGAACCCAAUGGGAAGUGGGACCGAAGAAUGUGAGAGUCAUGUAGGUGAAAACAGAAGCAAGCCGACAGUAUCCGAAGUAUGUACGAACACGAGAAAUUUGUACAGAAUAUUGGGGGACCAUCCUCAAAGCCUAAAUACUAACCGAUGACCGAUAGUGGAGCAGUACUGUGAAGGAAAGGUGAAAAGAACCCCUGACGGGGAGUGAAAGAGAACCUGAAACCUUAUGUUUACAAGCACACAAAGAGCGUUAAGGCUCGAUGUGGUACUUUUUGUAGAACGGUCCGGCGAGUUUAGUUAUGCAGCAAGGUUAAGCGUUUAAGACGUGGAGCCGCAGGGAAACCGAGUCUGAAUAGGGCGAUAGUUGCAUGAUUAAGACCCGAAACCGGGUGACCUACCCAUGAUCAGGAUGAAGUCGAGGUAAAACUCGAUGGAGGUCCGAACCGACCCCCGUUGAAAUGUUGGCGGAUGAAUUGUGGGUAGCGGAGAAAUUCCAAUCGAACCCGGAGAUAGCUGGUUCUCCCCGAAAUAGCUUUAGGGCUAGCCUUGCAUGAAUAUUACCGGAGGUAAAGCACUGAAUAGGUUAGGGGCCGAGAGGUUACCGACCCUUAUCAAACUCUGAAUGCCGGAUAAUAAUGUGCGGGAGUCAGACUGUGUGAGAUAAGUCUCACGGUCAAAAGGGAAACAGCCCAGAUCUACAGCUAAGGUCCCAAAUGUAUGCUAAGUGGAGAAGGAUGUGACAUUGCGAAGACAACCAGGAUGUUGGCUUAGAAGCAGCCACUCAUUCAAAGAGUGCGUAAUAGCUCACUGGUCGAGUGAAGUUGCGCCGAAGAUUUAACGGGGCUAAGCAUACAACCGAAGCUUAGGCUGCAUACGAAAGUAUGCGGGGUAGGGGAGCGUUGUGUAAGGGGUGAAGCGAUAGCGGAAGCAGUCGUGGACUUUACAGAAGAGAGAAUGCCGGAAUAAGUAGCGAGAAUUGCGUGAGAAUCGCAAUGGCCGAAAAUCUGAGGUUUCUAGGGGCAGGUUCGUCCGCCCUAGGUAAGCCGGAGCUAAGGCGAGGCCGGAAGGCGUAGCCGAUGCACAUACGGUAGAAAUUCCGUAGCCACCGAAAUUGUUAAGAUUACUGACACUGAGUAAAGCUGUUACCGGGCGAUGGUUGUCCCGGGCGUAAGCGACUGAAAUUAGAGUAGGGAAGUACAGUGUAAUCAGGCGAGAAAAGGUAAUUGUAUUGAUGAGGUGACCGUACCGCAAACCGACACAGGUAGAUGAGGAGAGAAUCCUAAGGCCAGCGGGAGAAGGGUUGUUAAGGAACUCGGCAAAUUGACCCCGUAACUUAGGGAGAAGGGGAGCCUGCGAAAGCAGGCCGCAGUGAAUAGGCCCAGGCAACUGUUUAUCAAAAACACAGGUCUCUGCAAAACCGAAAGGUGAAGUAUAGGGGCUGACGCCUGCCCGGUGCCGGAAGGUCAAGGGGAAGUGUUAGAGCAAUCGAAGCACAGAACUUAAGCCCCGGUAAACGGCGGCCGUAACUAUAACGGUCCUAAGGUAGCGAAAUUCCUUGUCAGGUAAGUUCUGACCCGCACGAAUGGCGUAAUGAUCUGGGCACUGUCUCAACAGCCCGCCCGGCGAAAUUGUAGUACCGGUGAAGAUGCCGGUUACCCGCGACUAGACGGAAAGACCCCAUGGAGCUUUACUGUAGUUUGAUACUGGAUUUCGACAGAUUAUGUACAGGAUAUGUGGGAGAC